UACGGUUAUAUCACGUUGAAACACCCGUUCUCGUACGAUCACUGAAGUUAAGCAACUUUGAGCCUGGUCGUUACCUAGAUGAGUGAACGCUUGGGAAUACCAGUUGC